rnacentral:rRNA from 1 species
CCUACGGGAGGCAGCAGUGGGGAAUAUUGCACAAUGGGGGAAACCCUGAUGCAGCGAAGCCGCGUGAGUGAAGAAGUAAUUCGUUAUGUAAAGCUCUAUAAGCAGGGAAGAAAAUGACGGUACCUGAGUAAGAAGCCCCGGCUAACUACUUGCCAGCAGCCGCGGUAAUCAGUAGGGGGCAAGCGUUAUCCGGAUUUACUGGGUGUAACGGGAGCGUAAACGGCAGUGCAAGUAUGGAGUGAAAGGCGGGGGCUCAACCCCCGGAGUGCUCUGGAAACUGUACGGCUGGAGUGCAGGAGAGGUAAGUGGAAUUCCUAGUGUAGCGGUGAAAUGCGUAGAUAUUAGGAGGAACACCAGUGGCGAAGGCGGCUUACUGGACUGUAACUGACGUUGAGGCUCGAAAGCGUGGGGAGCAAACAGGAUUAGAUACCCCAGUAGUC